GCCGGGCAUGGUGGUGCCUCCCUGUAAUCCCAGGGGCUUGGGAGGCUGAGGCAGGAGGAUCGCGAGUUCAAAGCCAGCCUCAGCAAAAGUGAGGUGCUAAGCAACUCAGUGAGACCCUGUCUCUA
rnacentral:sRNA from 1 species